CCUAGCGUACCGUGCCAGCCGCUUGGUCGCCAUCCCGGACCUUACGUUUCGCAGAGUUCAACGGCCGGAAGUCGGACGCCCUCACUUCCGGUCUGUUUAAACGCGGGCGCGGCAGACGAAGCCGGUUCCUGUAGGGCAGCGGCGGCCCUCAGCAGCGGUCUGUGGGGCGUUGCCUAGGCCUGAUGGAGCUAGAGGAGGAGGAGAACCCCAGGAAAAGGAAGGAGACCCCGAACUCGGCCUUGACUACAGAGCUGGAUAGACCUUCGUGGGAUGUUCAGGAUCCAGAGCCUCAAGCCAAGAAAGCUCGCUUAUCUACCAUUUUAUUUACUGACAAUUGUGAAGUAACCCAUAGACAGCUGUGUGAGUUGCUGAAGUAUGCAAUUCUGGGUAAAUCCACUCUUCCUAAACCCAGCUGGUGCCAGCUUUUACACCAAAAACAACUAAACAACGUGGUGGUUUUUAUUCUGAAGGGAAUGAGUCAGCUGCAUUUCUACAGGUUCUAUUUGGAAUUCAGAUUUCUCCGAAAGACAUUCAGACAUAAAUUCAGCUUGCCUCCUCCAACAUCUAGUUUUCUGUUUGAUAUCAUUGGGCUGCAAAAGAAAAAAUCAGCUAGAGGUUGUCCUAGGACUGUGGAAGGACCUUUAAUUUCUGCCACUUUAAAAUCCAGCAUCGACCUACAGAAUGACCCCAUCAUUCAAAAGUAUGGCUAUAAGAACGUGAGCUUGACCAGAUGCCUUCUGACAAAAGAGGAAAUGAAAACAUUUCACUUUCCUUUACAAGGGUCUCCUAACUGUGAAAACUUUAUCCUUCUCAAGUAUAGUGGUUUCAUAACAGAUAGCAGUCCCCUCUUUGGACUUGACUGUGAAGUGUGCCUUACAUCCAUGGGGAAAGAACUAACACGCAUCUCACUGGUUGCUGAAGGAGGCUACUGUCUUAUGGAUGAACUUGUCAAGCCUGAUUUCAAGAUUCUGGACUACCUUACUAGUUUUUCAGGAAUCACAAAGGAGAUUCUUAACCCAGUGACAACCAAACUCAAAGAUGUACAGAAGCUGUUAAGAGAACUGCUUCCUCCUGAUGCUGUGUUAGUGGGCCAUUGCCUAGACUUGGAUCUCAGAGUAUUAAAAAUAAUACAUCCAUAUGUUAUUGAUACCUCAUUGCUUUAUAUUGGAAAGCAAGGCAGAAGAUUUAAGCUAACAUUUUUAGCCAAAGUUAUUUUGGGGAAGGAUAUUCAGUGUCCUAACAAGCUUGGCCAUGAUGGCAUAGAAGAUGCUAGAACAGCUCUUGAGCUGGUUCAGUAUUUUCUUAAGUAUGGGCCAAAGAAGAUUGCAGAGUUCAAUCUGGAAGCACUAGCAGCCAAUCAAGAGCAAGGAAACAAGGAAGGAGCUACACACAUGAGGAGUGUUUUAGAAUGCCUGGACUCAAUGGGGCAGAAACUCCUUUUCUUGACACAGGAUAUAGAUGAGCUUUCUUCUUACAGAAACUGUCAAACUGUUAAGUGCUCUUCAAAUAAAGAGGUGCUUGAGCAAGCCAGAGUGGAAGUCCCUUUGUUCCCCUUCAACAUUGUGCAGUUCUCUUUUCGCCCCUUUCCACCCCUCUUCGCUGAAGAGAUGAAAAACAAUGCUGGCCUCAUACAGAGAUCCUUCUACCUUUGCCUUCCAUCUAUGCCUACAUCUGUGAUGAAGACCAGGUGGACAGAGAUGUCAACUAUCUAUGCUGGGCCAUUUAGCAAAGAUUGUAACGUCGGGUCCCUGAAGAAGGUGUUUAGUAGCUUGGGCCCAGUACAGUCUAUAACUCUUGUUCUUGAAACUUAUAGGCCUUACUUCUCCAUACAGUAUGAACUCCUGGAAGCUGCUCAGCUGGCUAUAGAGACCAUGAAUGGCACGAUAUUAGAAGGUUCCUGCAUCAGGGUACACAGGCUUUUGACAGAACUUACCCUUGAGUGUGAUACCCUUGUAAGAGAGCUAGAGCAAGAUUCUGAGAACCAAGGUACUAUAUAUGUGGCUGGAAUCGGAGAAACCUUUAAAGAACACCUGUUGGAGCAGUCCAACCUCUUUCCCGACCUAGAAGCUGUGAUCCUGCCUAAAGAGCUUAAAAGCAGAAAGCAAAAAAACUACUGUUUCUUGAAGUUUAAAACUUUCAACAGUGCCCAGGUAGCCCUUGAAGUUCUCAAAGGCAAAGACUGGAAGUUGAAAGGCAGAAAUGCCCUAACCUCCAGGCACCUUCAGGCAUGGCUCAAGAACAUACAUCCCGAACCAUCAAUGCCUAUGGGGCUUCGAAUUGUACCUCCUCUCUUGGAGAGGCACAUCUUCAGGCACCUUUGGAUCCCACCCUGGCCUAGGACUGAUGAAAAUAAAAGAGGAAGAGGGAGGCGACACCCUGCUGUGAGAGUGCUGGCUGACUCACCAAUGUUUGCUGCUCAGCUCCUGCUGCAGGAGGCCCAGCACCCUGGUGAGGUAAGAGGAUUUCCUGCCCUGCAUCUGACCCACCUACCCAGGCCGCUGACCUCAUCCGGACUGGACAGAUGCUUCAGUACAGCAGCUCCCUCCGAAGCCUGGCAUGCAGGUAAGGGCGGAACAGAUGGGGCUCCCACAGAGGCCCAAAUCUCAUUUACUUUGCAGUGCCUCCAUGUAAAAGCAUCUUUUGAUGACCUGAUACAGCGGAACCAGUUGAAACCUGAAGGCUUUUAACAUGCUCAGCAGAUGAGAAAAAGGGGAAAAUCAAUGUGGACAGACGAUCAAUCAGCCAGUGACAAAAGGUCGGCUUUCUCCCAUCAUGGCUCCUUUUCUUUGAAAGGUUCCCAUUCUAGUGGGAUAGAGCAGUAGUGUCAAGUCAGAAGCCAGUAUGUUCUUCUCUGCUAGUAGGUACUGCUCCUUGGUUGCUCAUUGAUUUCCCCUUUUUCUGGGCUUCUCCAGGCCCAGUCACAGCAGCCAGCCCUGUGUUUAAGAGGCUGGCAGAACCUUCAGUCUUUCAAAGUCUCACUAGCUGUUAGCUAACAACAGCAACCAUAAAUUACUGAGCAUAUGACACUGGGCUAAACUCUAUGCUAACUAAGCACUUUAAGAACAUUAGCUUAUAUGCCCUCCUCAACAUAACCCCAUUUAAAGACAGGAAAACUAAGACUCUGCAAAUAGUAAACUUAUCCAACAUCACAGAACAAACAGAACCUGGAAUGUUUAGUUCAAGAAACCAGGACCUGUAUAACUGAGCCCACAUCUGGCAAAGCAUCAUGGGACAACAUACUAAGGAAUGGGCCCUGAGGUGAGGAGCAAAUACAGCAACCUCAGAAUAUCAGAUCUUAACCAUCAGCCACUAGAAAGAACAUAUUCUGUGCACAUACACACACUAAUAAUAAAUAAUUUUAAAAUUAUAAUAACAAUAGGUCAGGCAUAGUGAUGCAUGUGUUUAAUCCCAGCACUUGGGAGGCAGAGACUGGUAUAUCUCUUGAGUUCAAGGCCAACUUGAUCUACAUAGUGAGACCCAGUCUCAAAACAUAAGAACAGUCUCAUGCCACAUCACUGGCCAUAUUCAAAAGCUCGAAAGCCCCAAUGGAGAAUCACAUGUAGGAUCAGACUCUGCACAGGAAGGGAUUUGCUUGUGAUUGGUCCUCAAUAAAAUCAAGCUGUGCCUGGUGACUACUUUAAAUUGCUAGCCAUGCCCUUUCCUAACCUGAAGCAGGCUUUCCUGUCCUCUUCCAUCCAUCUCUAUAUAGGUCUACAAAGCGCCUAUCUAGGCUCGCCAGCUUUCUAGACAAUUAAUGACAGUUAAUGACAGUGUCUUCCCAGGUGGCUCUACUUCCUCCACUGUCACCUGCUGACAGGCCCUGCACAAUCUAGACAUUCCGGUGCCAAGUUUACAAAAACAACACAAUUAUUAGUAAUGAAUACCACUUUCUAUUUGCUAUAUUGUUAUUAUAACAGCAGUAUAGAAACAUAGCUCUCUGAUAUAGUUGUUGAGUUCAGGAAACUAAAUGGCAGCACACUAAAGUCAAGGAGCCUAUCUAGGAAGGGAGAGAAGAGUCCAGUUAUCAAGAGGUUGGGUGAAUCACAGUGAUGGCAUCUAUUAACCAAACCUUACGGCAGCUUAUUCCACUGCACCUCAGAGGGCUGUUGAGUGGAGGAAAUGAGACAAUCCAUGCAUCUGGUGCACAGAAGCAUUCAGUGAAGAGUCCGCCUCUGUAAUCAUUAUUAUUAAUGCCAUCUCGACGUCAGUGACAGACCAAAGCUUCCUUUAUCGAAGAAACUGUUCUUCAGUAGCCAGCCCAGCUCUAUCAUGGCAAGUCAAAUGUGCUGAACAAGUGACAGCUCUCCUGCCUUAGCUCUGUGGCACAAAUGGGUCAAACAGAGCUAAGGACAAAGAGAGCUGGGAAGGGGUGGCUAAAAACUUAAGUGGAGGGAGGUGGAACCACUCAUACAUACAAUAACUGGGGUACCAUUCUAAGCCUUUAUACUCUUGGCUAUGUAUUUACCAGACAGGAACUUUGUUCAGCUUACAAUGGGUCAACAUCAGUCCGCAGCUUUUCUCCUUCAGUCUUAGCACCAACUGCUUCUGCCUCCUUCCCUCCCUUCUCUGCAUAUCAGCCUCCAGAAUCCUCCUUCCUCUGUGCCAGCCCUGGCUGCCAUUCCUAAGGAUAGGCUUUGCUGCCUUCCCAGCUCAGCCCCAGCCCCAGCCCCAGCCCCAGCCCCAGGCCUGAAGUAGGCUUUACUAGGCCCCAAGGACAAUCCUUGCAGGAUCCCUGGAGGUGCUCUAGUUUCAGCCAUGCCUGUCUCUUUGGUAGUUCAUGAGGUAACAACCAGGCAAAGCUGUCUUCAAGUGGCUUGCUCUUGGUUGGUCAGCCACCCCACUGUGGAGGACCAACCCACACUGGGACCUUGGGUAAACGGAGACAGAAAACAAAUGGAAAGAUAAGAGAACUACAAAGAAAACUUGAGACUCAGAAGGAUACUAACUGUAGGCCUGGGGCUAUAGCUGCACUUUUAUAAGAAGCCUAAGAAAUAAAUGCUAUAGGCUCUUUAGAUUUGGAAACUACACACAGUAUUACAAAAUAAAACCAACCUGCUGGACUUCGCUGAGAUUUCACAGAAAGGUAGGUCUUGUUUGGGUUCUUAAUAAGAACCAAACAGACAAUAAACAGAAAAUGGAAGAAAGGGACAAUAUGGUUGGUUCAUGUAAUUUACAUAUAAUAAUAGCUAUGUCCCUAUCAUUAUAGGGAGCUGGGGAGAUUGGCCCAUAGUAAAGUGCCAGCCACAAAAAGCAUGAAGACCAGUUUGGGUCCCCAGCCCCCACAUAAAACCUGGGUGUGGUAACCCAUGUCUAUCCAAUCCCAGUGCUGGAGGUGAAGACAGGGAAGUUUCCUGGGGCUUGCAGGCCAGCCAGCCUAAGUGAAUCGAUAAGCUCUAGGUUCAGUGAUAGACCUUAUCUCAGAAAACGUGGUGGAGAGAAACACCUGACAUUGACCUUUGACCUUUACACAUACAACACCCACACUUCUGUGUAUUGAGAAUGAUAUGAACUGUUACACUUAAUUCAUUACAUCUCUAUAAGUUAGAUAACUUUUUUUUUCAUUUUAUAAAAGCAGGAAAUGAAUAAAAUUUAGGAGGUUGGCUUGAAGUAACCAGUCUGACUCCACACUCUGAUCUCUCAAGUCAGACCCCCUAGGAAGAUGAUGAUGCACCAAGAAGAAAAUGUCCUUUACCAACAGUAAGUGAAUUCAGAGGGUGAGUCUAUAUGCAGAGUAAAUUCCAAGGACACCUUGGACUCAUCCAGGAUUCCAUAAGCAAUGUAUCCCUUCAACAAAUCAGUUGGCCUCUCUGAGUUUCUAUGAUUCCAACAGUAAAACAAGGGAUCUACACUUGUCUUUUCAUAUUUUUGGCAUUUAAAAGAAACUGCAGUUCUAAUCGGAAAAGCCUCUGAAGACAAGAACUUUCCUCCUAUUAUAAUGAACGGCUCCCUUGCUUCGUGCAAGGAGAAAAACAGGUGAGUCCAAUUUGAACAAUGGGGCAUUGGACACCGUGGAGUUUGCAGCCUUCCCUUUCCUUUCUCAUUUUAGUUGAGCUCUUCAGGGUCAGCAAGAAGACCUUGACUGGAGGUAAGCGGCUGUGUCCCCCCUCUCCCCAGUAAGCAGCCCAGACUAAGCUGGCUCUUUGCUGUAGCUAGUCAGGUCAAAAAGCUUUCUAAGAGGAAUGCUGUGUUGGCUGCAGACAGGGAGCCUGCCACCCUGAGGAACAGCCUUGUGAAACAGGCAAGUGCUAUACCAAAAUAAAGUCUGCAAAGCGUCAGAUCUGCCUUAAGACUGUCUUAAAUGGGGCUGGAGAGAUGGCUCAGUGGUUAAGAGCACUAACUGCUCUUCCAGAGGUCUUGAGUUCAAAUCCCAGCAACCACAUGAUGGCUCACAACCAACUGUAAUGAGAUCUGAUGCCCUCUUCUGGUGUGUCUGAAGACAACUACAGUGUAUAUAAUAAAUAUUUUUUUUUAAAAAAAGACUGUCUUAAACGACCACCCAUGCCUGUCUCCAUUUUGUUCCCAUCCAGAGUUAGUUUACUCUGCAGCAAGAAGCCGCCAACACUGGCAUUCCCACAUCAUAGCAAUGUGAAAUACACGCUUCUGACAUCUGAAACAGUCUGGCCAGCUAGGUGAGCCCAUGUUCUUACUUCCUAUCAACACUGAAGACCAGAACCUGAGCACAUGAAACCCUCAGUCCUUCUACAGCGGCCAGAGACUGAGGCAACCCUGGUAAAUGAAAACAUCCUCUAAGCCCCGGGAGUCUCUAGACAAGACCAUAGGGACUCCUGGUUCUGCCUGGCCGCAUACAGGUUUUGAGUGACCUUUUCAAAAAAGACUGAAAAGUGGGUACAGUCCAACUGUAAACAACUUCUAGAAACUUGCAUACAUCACAUGUAAAGACUGAGGGGUUGCUCCUCUCACUUGGAACUUGAGGCUUGAAGAAGAUCACCUUCAGAGAUUAGGUCUUACCAGAGCUACUUAUUGGGGAAAGCAGUUCCCUCUGCCAAAGCAAACAAGACCCGUCUGUUUCUAUGCCCAUGCUUUUAACUGUGUCUUUGUCCUAAAUGCCCUACACUAGGCUAAAACUGCAGCUCCAGUUAGAGUUGGGUAGGACUUGCUGCACCAAACAAUCUCAAAAAUGCAAAAGGAAAGAGGCAUGAAAGAAAGACUCAAUAUUUUAAAAAGGAAAUAAUAUAUGCAUGAUUUAUAUUUUUAGAAAAAUCACCUUGAGUCACAUGACUAACACCAUCCAACUUGACCAAAAAUCAUUUCUUUACUUUUAUUAGUUUGUUACUGGUCCUUAGGUGUCACACUUUAGUACAAUCACAUCCUGUAUAAUGAUGUUUCUAUCAGUAAUGAACUAUAGUCACAAUGGUGGUCCCAUUAAGAUCAUUAUGCAGUUCUUAGUGCCACCACAGCCACCCCAAUGCUGUGGACAAAACGUUCACUUGUUCAUGAUGCUGCUGACACAGAUAAGCACCCUAUACUGCCAGCUGUAUACAGUAUACACAGCACAUACACUUAUGUAUAAAAUGCAACGUUUUAACACAGUUCCAUUACAGCUACGUAACUGCCAAUGCUACUUUUCUGUUGUUAAAUGGUUGCUGUAAAACGGCAUGCUGUGUGACUCUGGUAGCAAGUUCAUACAUGUCACAUGUAACAUGUCCCCCGACUGCAACAUACCUAACAUGAAGUGAAUGACCUAUGUGUAAGGACACUAACGGCAUCCACACAAUGACAGACUCAUUCAGAAUCUAUCCCCUAGUAAAUGACUAGAUACUAGGAUACUAGUUGUGUGUGUGUGUGUGUGUGUGUGUGUGUGUGUGUGUGUGUGUGUGAGAGAGAGACAGAGACAGAGACAGAGACAGAGACAGAGAGAAUGUGUCUGUAUGCAUGCCUGAGGAUGGAAGCCACUGUAGCUGGCUAGUCUGAGGGCUACUGGUCAAAUACAAGCAAGCCAACACUGACACAUAACAUAUACUUUCCAAACACAAAAUAAUGAAGCAUUUUAGUCUCGAGGCUUUAGAACUGAGUUGCAUGUUUACCCAAAAUAACCAAAACUAUGCCUUCUCAUAUCACUGGCCCACAAUGAAAUUUUUUGCUUCUCCCUCCCCCCCCCCCCCCCCGCAAUCACAACUAUUUUAAAGCAAGUCUAACUAUACAUACAUGUGCAAAGUGGGCAGGAUUUGGGGGCAGUAGAUUUCUAGGUUGGCCCAGUGGAUCUCUAGGUAUUAGUGACUUUUCUAAUUGGUGUUAGCAAAUACCUAAAGAAGGAACCUAAUGGGAUGAAAGAUUUAUGGUGGCUGUUCCAGAAGAUGUGGUCAGUCCACCAUUGCAGCAGGAUGUGCAUAGACAGCUUCUCACAAAAAGGCAGAUGAGGAAGCAGAGGUUAAGACUGGAAUCCAGAUCACCCAUCACCUUGAAAACUCACUCCCAGAGACUACCUUCUGCUGCAAGACCAUAGUCCCAAAUGUUCCACAACCUCCCUAGUCACCAGCUAGGCACCAAAUAUUCAAACACAUGAACCUGUAGGGGACACUUCAGAUUCAAACUGUCACUCCUUUGUUUCUCCCUCAGUUUUCUCAAGGCAUUCCUGGUUCAAAGGCAGAAGGCUGUCUUGAGUUUGUUCUCCCUGGAACUAUAAUAAAAUGGUAUGUCUGCUACACUGUAUGCAUACUAUGUAUGCAGCCUGUUUGCUUCCUUGGGAUGGGACCUCGCUAGACCUCGCUGAAGGUGAACUACUGACUAGACAUUAACUUCCUCCUUCCAGGUACCUGCCACCCAAGAAUUUAGCUGAUUAUAGCUAAUUAGUCCUCAAACAUCUGACUAACAUGUGUACUGUUCACUUUUUGGUCUCCUUCUAAGGAGUUCAGAAAAAAACUGAAGAUUACAUUUUUGCAUUUAGUAAAAGGCAGAAAAGCACACUUUGAAGUGAGUCAAAAGACGAGGAAAGAACCCAAUACAAUGACUGUAUGACUGCCUGCAAAUGCCUUGAAGGGAUACGUAAAUGAUGCGACUGCUAAGUAAGCCUCAAGUUCAUCACAUGAGGCCCAUGAUGGAGGCUGACUGCUAAUGGCCAGCCCACAGGAAAAAGUGGAUUAAAAAAAGACCUGCACAGUGAAAGAAUUCCUCCUUUCAACCAUACCAGUAACCUAGUCAGAAACAUCCACGACUACUGCCAAAUCAAAAGUACUAUAUACUUAUUCUAGAAAGUCCAGACAAUGCAGGUAAGUCUGUGUUGGAGGAUGGCUUUGUGCACCGUAUAUUCAGAUGCUGAUUUCUAUGCCAGGACAUCUUGUAGUCCUGACAUUGGCAUGGCCAACCAUCUCCAGUCUCAAUGUUAUGUAAAAAUCAUUCUCCAUCACCUCUGAUUGGUUAGUAAGUACUGAUUACCCAAAAAACUGGGCAGGAGAAGAGAGUCCCAGGGGAGAAGGACCAAGAAAGAGAAGAGCCAGAAGGAUUCACCACGAGGUCUGGAUGAGAGAGCAUGUAACCAGGAUGCAGACUAUAAGUAAAGGACCACAUGGCUGGGAAGUAGGCAGCCAGAGAGGUUACAAUAGGUAAGUACCUGCCCAGCAUAGUGCCUGUAGCUUGUUAAUAAAAAUACCAGAUCUCUGUAUCAUUUAUUCGGGAGAUAAAAUGGGUUAGAGCAGGUGUAGAAACACCCUGUUGUUACUUGAGAGCAAACAGGCAAAGCAACCUCCUCCCAAAAAAUUACAAGUCUGUGUGUGUAUGUGUAUGUAUGUGUGUGUGUGUGUGAGAGAGAGAGAGAGAGAGACAGACAGAGAGACAGAGACAGAGACACACAGAGAGAGACAGAGAGAGAGAGAGAGAGAGAGACAGAGAGAGAGAGAGAGAGAGGGGGAGAGUGCAGGCAGUGCGUGUAUGAAUUAUUCCAGAAUGCCAACUAACAUAAAGAAUAUACUUUAGGUGUUUUAGUAAGCAUAUGUAGAUGACACAUACACACAAUACAUACAUGUAAUAUAUACAUUAAACUUAUAAACAAAUAAGUUAUAUUAUGCAUCCUAUUCUGUAGCUAUUUCCACUCAACAUUCUUCAUAAACAUCUUUCCCUCUCAAAAAAUUAUGUGCUGAUAAAUAUACAGGGAGUGUAUGUAUAUAUACACGUUCGUUCACAUGAGCUCCUCAGGCACUGUCUACCUUUUGUUUGGAGGUUGUGUUUGGAGAUCUUAUUUUUUUAUUAUGUGCAUUCCUGUGUGUCUGUGUGAGGGUAUGUGCAUAUGAACUCAGGUUUGUAUGGAGAGGGUGUCAAAUCUCAUCAAACUUAGAAUUAGAGUUGGUUAUAGGCUGCCAGACAUAGGUACUGAAAACAGAAUUUGGGUCCUCUUUAAGAGCAAUAUAUACCACUAAGCCAUCUUCUCAACCCAUUUGUUUUUCAGGCAGGGUCUCUCAUUGCCUUGAGCUGAUCAAGGAGGCUGGACAGUGAGCCCCUGGAUCUGCCUGUGUUCUCCCUAGCUCAAGGGUUAGACACACAGGCCACCAUACUUAAGUCUGUUUGCUGUGGUUUAUAAAAAUAUUUAUCUGUUUGGUUCAUGUGUACAUACAUCAUGUAUACGGGAGUUGAUUCUAUUCUUUACACCAAUAUAGGUUCAGGAAUCAAACUUAGGUCAUUAGGCCUUGGUGAUAAGCACUCUUUCCUUGCUGAGCCAUCUUGAUGGCCCUACCCUUUGAUUUUUAUUUUUUAAACAUGGGUUCUGAGGUUUCUGAACUCAGGUCUCCAGGCUUGCAUGGAAAAAGGACUGAGCUCCCGCCUUAACCUGGACAAAAAAUUUAACUGUUGUUAUCGCUGUUAAUGCUCAGACAGUUCACACAUACUCUAUAAGACUAUUUACUAUUUACAUCCUACUAUUCGAUCUGUCAAAAUUCUGCUACAGUACUCCAGAGGGAGCAAAGAGACUGAGAUUCUGUGUGUUAAAACACUGUAACAGCUUACUAACUCAAUGACAAUCGGAUUUGUUAUUUUAAUUUCUUAUUCUCAGAUAUUAACUUGCUUCCUGUAAUUCACUAUUAUAGACAUACUAGGGUAAUAAAUGGAAAAUAAAGUUAAAAACCAGAACAUUAACAAUUAUUUCCUGGGAAUAAAUCCCUAGAAGAGAAAUUGAUGGAUCAAAGAUUAUGUAAAAAUAUUUUAUAUAAAAUCUAUCCUAGCAAUCGAUUCAUAUUUUCAACAUAUUGUAUGUGCCAACUAAUUCAAUUUCCCUUAAAACAAAACAGAACAACAUCUUUUCCAGAGACAUGGAAGACAAAUAAGACAAAUAUCCAAGAAGCAAGUAAAGAAGUAUCAGCUUUCCUGUGAACACAACAACUUAACAGUUGUUAAAUGAUGGGACAAGAAACGAGAGGUUCUAAUGAUCAUCCUUCAAUUUCAUCUAAAUUUCUUCGAUGCAUUUUUUUAAGUAUUAGACAAACCUUACUCUUUCUGCCCUCCAAAAACAAAAGAGGGUAUAUUUGAAAAAUCUAAUGAGUCCUCAUCCUUUUUAGCACUGGGCUGAAAGUCUAGUCUUGGACUAACCAGAGCCACUGACUCAUCUGUGGAGCCUUGGAAGCAGCAAUCGGGUUGUAUUUACCCCACAGACCUGUCAUAUGAACUUCUGAGCUAUAAACUGAACCAAAGGGCAUUAUAAAACAUAUUAGAACCAUGUAAAUUUCCACACCACCUAGCCUCUUUAUCAGAUAAUUACCCAAGUUUCACAAGUAAUCCCCACCCCUCUAAUUAACUCCUGGUAUAAGACUGUGCGUAUGUGGGAUUCACAAUGGAACAUAUGACUCAGGCCUAUAUGCUGCCGAUAUGCUCCUGGCUUCAAUGACUAUUAUCAGGGGUACACAGGCACCCAGGUCAACCAGCACUGAAAAUGGUCACCAUGCCAGAAAGACGAGGGAAAGUAAAAUGCCUGUGGAAGAAGAUGAUUCUCUUGCCCUGGUGAGUUUCAAAUCUAAUGCAUAUAGAACUCAAGAAUGAGAUUCUUAGGUAGAAAGCAAUAUUGAGAAAUUAUAAACUAGGUUUUGAAAACAUCAUUUGCACCCUGAAUCCAAUGGCUUCAAGAAAGGAAAUCAAAGCCUAACCUUCAUGAAUACACCAGUCAGUAAAUUCCCCUUUAUAUUCACCAGAUGCCAGCUUGUGUCCCAAUGGAAAGAGUUCUCAUAAAGAUAGCUACCACUUCUCAGACCUCCUACUUAAGCAGCACAGAGAGGAAGAUCCAAUGCUUAGACUUCCUGAUUCGUUCCUGGACCAGCUUACCAGGCCAGUGUCAAUAUGUCACAGUACUCUCAGCUGAACAACAGAAGCAAUAAUCCCGGGCCCAGGAAUGUUGUCAAAGCCAUCAGGAUACUAUUUAUGUAAGAUGCCAUGACUAACAAGCUGAAAGAACUAUCCUGUCCCUCCUCUACAUACAGUCAGAGUAUUUACUCCUGCCUUCUACUGUGGAAACAUUCUGACUCAUCUUCAUGCUCCCAAGGAGAACCCCCACCUCCUAUUCUCACAAUGUGAUAGAAUGUAGAGCAAAUGCUUCGGGAAGCCUUCGCACAAUCAUGACAUGACCAAUCGUCUUCCAGCUCAAAAGAUCAUGUGUGAGCUCUCAACUGCUACUCCAGCAUCAUGCCUGCCUGUCUGCCACUUUGCUCCACCGCCAUAAUCAUGGACUAACCCUUUGAAACUGUAAGCAAGCUUCCAAAUAAAUGCUUUCUUUUAUAAGCUGCCUUAAUCAUGGUAUGUAGUCAUAGCAACAGAACAGUAACUAAGACAGAUAGUGAGUGCUCAUGUUGCACAAGACACUAGUCUGUCACUUUACUGUACUAACUCAAGAUGAAUCAGGAAUGUUUAACUCUUGCUCUAGUACAAUUAUGCCUAACAAAUCAUAGUUAUUUAUACCAAUUCUGAUUAAAUGAUAUCAAUAGCAAAGGAAACUGAAUCCUAUGGAUGCACAACUCAAUUUUAGUUUUUUUGUUUUGUUUUUUUUUUUCCGGAGCUGGGGACCAAACCCAGGACCUUGCGCUUGCUAGGCAAGCGCUCUACCACUGAGCUAAAUCCCCAACCCCUCAAUUUUAGUUCUUAAGAACUGGUUCUUAAGGUCAUAUUUCUUUGUGAUACUAUAGUGACAAUCCUGGAAUUUUCAAACUUUCAAUUUUUUAUAAGAAAGUUUUCGUUUUAAUCUCAGGCAUGGAGAUAUGGGGCUGCUUUGAGCUGACCACAGCAGCUGACUAUUGUGAUUUGCCUCAUGCUCUAGCAGAGGCAUGAAAUUUACCAGCUGCAGAUAGUUUCUGAGAUUGUGUGACACUUGGAAUCCUGGGAACUUAUCAGAGUGCAUAUAAAUGCUAGGGCCCUGAGAAGCAGCAGGGGAAUUUGGCUGCAGUUAGAAGUCAUGCUCAAAGAAGAAACAAAAGGAAAGAUAUUAGAUUCAGGUAUAUGUCUGGCUCUCCCUUGUAUCCUUCUUUCUCUUCUAUUAGGGGCUGGGGAUUAAAUUGGGGGUCAGGGUGGAUAAAAGGUGUGAAAAAGAAGAACCCACGAAGUAGUAAAAGACCAGCUACCAGACCCCUUCCCCACAGUACUCUACCACCUUCUGGAGGAAAAAAAAAAGGAGUGGGGAGGAAUUCUCUUAUUAUUUCAAUUAUUCCCUACCUCAACGGUUUCCUAAAUGUGAUACAAAUAGCUUCUCAUCCAGUAGUAAUAUGGUUCCAUUUCUUUACUCUGUAAGCUAAUUUUCACCUCCUAUAGUGAAUUCCAGAAUUUGAGGCUAAAAACAGGAAGAUCCAUCUGUCUCUUCUGAUCCAUACACCUCACUCCCUUGAAGGAGGGAAAGGUAUCAAAUUAUUCACAAAAUCAUUCCUGCCUCUUCUCUUAACAAAGGUGCCAGCCGAAAAGUUAACUGGAGCCACAGCCAUAGGGCAAGAAGACCUAAUGACAACAUUCAAGGGCUGGGUAGCCUCCCUCGUUCAUGUGUGAAAGCAUCUUAUUUAAAGCCUUGUUUUGAAUACCAUAUAUGCUUUUUAAAAUAGGGAGUCAGCUACUUAAAAGAUGCCACUUUACAGUUCUUGAGAUAUUUGCUCCUACUAUGUGUUACUCACAAAAAACUCAGUGAUGCCAGGCACAGUGGGGCACAUGAUUAAUUAGGAGGCAGGGGCAGGCAGAUCUUUAUGAGUUAAGGCCAACCUGGUUUACAUAGUGAGUUCCAGGACAGCCAGGAGUACAGAUACCUUAUCUCAAAAAAAAAAAAAAAAAAAAAAAAGAAAUGAAAAAGGGAAGAAGGAAGGAAAAGAAAUCACUGAUGACAGAGUGGCUUUUGACUUAUUUUACUUAAAAAUGUAUCCUGUCAAAGACAGUAAGAGAUGAGGACAAUACAGCUCUGUCUCUUCAAAUCCCCUAGAAACAAUGAGCUAUACUGCAUAUGGCAGCAAGAAAAGGCCAAGAGCUAAAGUCCUAAACAAAUCCAGACAUACUUGCCAAGAAGCAAAGAGCAGAUUCCACCUCCACCGGCUGGCAGGCAGGCCCACACAUUCUGCUUAGCCACAUGAGACAGCCGGCUCUUGCUCUACCCACCCCCAGGCUCAGUCAGGAUAUUUGGGUAGCAAGAGAAUAGCAACACUGGUGACUUUUCUAGAAUAUGUUGUAUAAAAAUAGAGCUUCCAAUUUUAGACCUAAAGUUGAAAAGAAAAAUAGCCAGAAUUAGAAGUUUGUUUUAACACAAUACACUGAAAAUUCCAAGUACUACAAGUGUAAAUGCUGGUAGAAGAGAUGGGGUCACACUACACAGGGCUCCUCAGUGAGUCGGCCAACAGUCAGGCUUGUUUAACAGAGCACAUCCAUCAGUGAUAGAAUUAAGAAGUGUACUGUGUGGGGUGAUGGAAAACCACUCCUCUUUUGUUUCUCUGGGAAAUGCCAGAGCUGACAAAAACGAAUCUCAGCAGAAACUUACAAGACAAAUACAUUAGUAAGCCUUUUCUGAAGCUAGUCAAAGAAGUGUUCGAAACUCUAAAUAAGACUCAUUUUUCAGAAAUUAAGUCAGUGUAACAAGGUGGGAGGUACUUCUAAACUAAUCUAAACUUCAAUCACAACUUCAACAUUUCCAGAUUUUAACCCCCAUUCUUCAUCACCACUCUAUCUCUGAGCAAAAGCCAAAUGCUUCCUUUUUAUGGCAAGUUUCUAGCCCUUCAGGCAUGAGAAUCACUCUGGUAGGACUGGGUAAGAACUGAAGACCCAGAAUGACACCUUCACAAUAAAGACCUCCCAAAGGGUUUGUGGGUACCAUAAAUUACAUAACACUUCUAUGAGGCAAUCAGGAUCAGCCCCCAUUCAUUUAAGUUGAUUCAGUAUUGCCAAAUGGGCUUAUCAAAUCGAAGGCUCACUAUCCACCAGAGCUGAGCAAAGGCACAGUGACUGGUUUCACUGUGAAUCAGCUUGCUGUCAAGGAAAAAAAAAAAAAAAACAAAACAAACAAAA